rnacentral:rRNA from 1 species
CGACCGGCGCACGGGUGAGUAACACGUAUCCAACCUGCCGAUGACUCGGGGAUAGCCUUUCGAAAGGAAGAUUAAUACAAGAUGGCAUCAUGAGUCCGCAUGUUCACAUGAUUAAAGGUAUUCCGGUAGACGAUGGGGAUGCGUUCCAUUAGAUAGUAGGCGGGGUAACGGCCCACCUAGUCUUCGAUGGAUAGGGGUUCUGAGAGGAAGGUCCCCCACAUUGGAACUGAGACACGGUCCAAACUCCUACGGGAGGCAGCAUG